rnacentral:misc_RNA from 1 species
CGCACCUUGCACCUUUUGGUAUUCCGAAAGGUAUGCCUGUUUGAGUGUCUUGAAAAACCUCACUCCAAAGGUUUCUUUUGGGCCUAUGGACGUGGAUGUGGGCGUUGCGUCGGCUCGCCUUAAAUGCAUGAGUGGUACCGAAACCAAGCUCAGACGUAAUAAGUUUCGUCUGCUGAGGGGUGGAAGGGCCGCUUACAACCCUGCUUCGGCAGACUUUUAUUCGAUCAGACCUCAAAUCAGGUAGGACUACCCGCUGAACUUAA